AUCUAGGCUCUUGCAUCGAUGAAGAACGUAGCGAAAUGCGAUACUUGGUGUGAAUUGCAGAAUCCCGUGAACCAUCGAGUUUUUGAACGCAAGUUGCGCCCGAUACCAUUAGGUUGAGGGCACGUCUGCCUGGGUGUCACAUAUCGAAGCCUCCUGCCAAUUUC
rnacentral:rRNA from 2 species